UUUCCGUAGGUGAACCUGCGGAAGGAUCAGUGCAGAUGGUUGGAGGGCUUGGUCGGGAGACUGGGGCCCUUUGAUGCCUAAUGCGUGUGUGGUGUGGCAGAUUAAUCAAGAGAUAAUGACAAAACUUUUAACAAUGGAUCUCUGGGCUCUU
rnacentral:misc_RNA from 1 species